GUAACAGAUUUGAUACAGAAAACCUUUUGACAUAUGUUUUGCUUUAUUUGUACCCCACAACGUUCACGGUUCAUCGCGGGGAAUGUAUCGUAGGGAAAGACACCAGGAAAGAGAGGGAAAAUGAUGGUACUGGGCACGAAAUUAAUGAAACCUGGGGCAGAGUUCCAGCCACGUUUCUCAGGUAGACAGUGUUAACUGCACAGGAUACCCAGUCCUAUUACAGUUUUCAGAAAUGAGUUAGGAAGCUGGAGUUUCCCUUAGCAAGACAGGGCAUUUCCGAGCAUACCAUUCUUUUUCCCUUGAACUUGUCACAUUUACUGACAUGUUUAGAGACCUCUUGAGGUACUUAGAGAGUAAAGUAUCUAAGUCCUCUGUGGGGGUGUUAACCAGUCUUUGUUUGCUUCCCUGAAGCCGAGAUUGGAUAUGAGGAGUUUCUCACCAAUCCAUAUCGUAAAGUGGACCACAAAGGAGGAAGAACAGCGCAAGAGAUUCAACAGCCAGAUGGGAAUGAAGGAUUCACUAUUUUAUGGAAUUCGGAAAAACAACAACAUUAUCUGGAAGCGAUGAACAGAAUUCUUCAGAAUAAUGACAUUUCGGAGGAGAAGUGGGUUAAAGAAGCGUCUGUUUUCAACAGGAAUUUAAGACAACAAUUGACUGCUAAAGAUAAAGAAACACCUAAAAACGCCCUUAAUCCAGAUUUCCCAAGAAAGAGUCCGCUGUGCAGGGUGAUGCUUCAGUUCCUGCAGAAGAACAUCAUCAUCGCUGCCAUCACGAUGACGGCAAUCAUUGUGAUCAUGGUGCUAGUGCUGCUCUUCCCUGUGUACAUGAGGAGGAAACAGGCAUUGUGAGUGGCUCUUUGCAUUCACCUCCCUUCCAAGACCUUCGAGGUGUUUGGACCAAUGUUGUCUCAGACCUUUCUGCAGAUCCCAGAUUUAGGAAGAGGGC
rnacentral:lncRNA from 1 species